rnacentral:rRNA from 1 species
AGAUGCAGUGUACCCGCGGCAAGACGGAAAGACCCCGUGAACCUUUACUAUAGCUUGACACUGAACAUUGAGCCUUGAUGUGUAGGAUAGGUGGGAGGCUUUGAAGUGUGGACGCCAGUCUGCAUGGAGCCAACCUUGAAAUACCACCCUUUAACGUUUGAUGUUCUAACCUAGGCCCAUAAACUGGGUCGGGGACCGUGUCUGGUGGGUAGUUUGACUGGGGCGGUCUCCUCCUAAAGAGUAACGGAGGAGCACGAAGGUUGGCUAAGCAUGGUCGGACAUCAUGCGGUUAGUGCAAAGGCAUAAGCCAGCUUGACUGCGAGAGUGACGGCUCGAGCAGGUACGAAAGUAGGUCUUAGUGAUCCGGUGGUUCUGAAUGGAAGGGCCAUCGCUCAACGGAUAAAAGGUACUCCGGGGAUAACAGGCUGAUACCGCCCAAGAGUUCAUAUCGACGGCGGUGUUUGGCACCUCGAUGUCGGCUCAUCACAUCCUGGGGCUGAAGUAGGUCCCAAGGGUAUGGCUGUUCGCCAUUUAAAGUGGUACGCGAGCUGGGUUUAGAACGUCGUGAGACAGUUCGGUCCCUAUCUGCCGUGGGCGUUGGAAGAUUGAGAGGGGUUGCUCCUAGUACGAGAGGACCGGAGUGAACGCACCACUGGUGUUCGGGUUGUCAUGCCAAUGGCAUUGCCCGGUAGCUAAGUGCGGAAGAGAUAACCGCUGAAAGCAUCUAAGCGGGAAACUUGCCUCGAGAUG